GCCUAACACAUGCAAGUCGAGCGGUAGCAGGACCUGUAGCAAUACAGGUUGCUGACGAGCGGCGGACGGGUGAGGAAUACGUAGGAACCUGCCUUAUAGUGGGGGAUAACUAAGGGAAACUUUAGCUAAUACCGCAUAAUCUCGAGGGAGGAAAGCUGCCGCAAGGUGGCGCUAAAAGAGGGGCCUGCGUCCGAUUAGCUAGUUGGUGAGGUAAGAGCUCACCAAGGCGAUGAUCGGUAACUGGUCUGAGAGGACGACCAGUCACACUGGGGCGGAGGCACAGCCCAGACUCCGACGGGAGGCAGGAGGGGGGAAUAUUGGACAAUGGGGGCAACCCUGAUCCAGCGAUGCCGCGUGAGUGGAGAAGGCCUUCGGGUCGUAAAGCUCUUUAGGUUGGGAAGAAGGGUGUUAGAGGAAAUGCUAAUACUUUGACGGUACCGACAGAAUAAGCACCGGCAAACUCUGUGCCAGCCGCCGCGGUAA
rnacentral:rRNA from 1 species